GACGAACGCUGGCGGCGUGCUUAACACAUGCAAGUCGAACGGAAAGGCCCUGCUUUUGUGGGGUGCUCGAGUGGCGAACGGGUGAGUAACACGUGAGUAACCUGCCCUUGACUUUGGGAUAACUUCAGGAAACUGGGGCUAAUACCGGAUAGGAGCUCCUGCUGCAUGGUGGGGGUUGGAAAGUUUCGGCGGUUGGGGAUGGACUCGCGGCUUAUCAGCUUGUUGGUUGGGUAGUGGCUUACCAAGGCUUUGACGGGUAGCCGGCCUGAGAGGGUGACCGGCCACAUUGGGACUGAGAUACGGCCCAGACUCCUACGGGAGGCAGCAGUGGGGAAUAUUGCACAAUGGGCGGAAGCCUGAUGCAGCAACGCCGCGUGCGGGAUGACGGCCUUCGGGUUGUAAACCGCUUUCGGCUGUGACGAAGCGUGAGUGACGGUAAUGGGUGAAGAAGCACCGGCUAACUACGUG
rnacentral:rRNA from 1 species